rnacentral:lncRNA from 1 species
AGUCUUCCUCAGCUUUUCUCUCGGUGUAGUUGGAGGUCUAUAAAGUCAUCCCAAACCUCUGCACCCAACUAAACUUAUUGGCGCUAUCUUCCAAUUCAGCCAUUCGGAGGUCUUGGCGGUUGAAACUUCAAGACAGGAAUUUGGAGUGAGGACACAGUUCAUUCCAUACACAAAGACAGGAGCGGCUUCAUCCAGAACCCGGAAGGUCUGUCCCUCUACAGAAACCCAGAUCUAAUCGUGUCGCAUCCCACACCAGAUGGGAUCUCACUAUGUUGCCCAGGCUAGAGUGCAUUGGCUAUUCACAGACGAUCAUGAUGCAAUCAUAGUGCACCACAUCCUCAAACUCCUGGACUCAAGUGAUCCUCCCUCCACAGCCUCCCAAGUAGCUGAGACUGCAGGCACACGCCACUGCACCCAGCCCUGGACUAUUAACUUUUAUAUUUUUUAUAUCCAUAGAGUCAGGCAGCUUCUGAUGCAUAGUAACCAUGUAAUAAAUGUUGAAUGAAUAAAUGUGAAUGACCAUACCCAUACAUAGACAUAUGCAUUCAUAUAAAUCUCAGCUUCUCAUCUCAUUCUCCCAAGCAAUGCUAACAGCCUUGACAGCUUUUGACAAACUGAUUCACAACAAAGCCUUGAUUUUCCCAUCCAUGAAGUGGGGCUAAAAUAUGCCUAAAUC